rnacentral:lncRNA from 1 species
GAGCAACCGCACAGCUCGUCUAACCUCUAUAGGUCAUCCACUCGAAGUUCUAAUUGGAUCGUCUUUCUCGAGAGUGCUAGCUCAUGCCGAAGGCUCUGCAUGACUGAUUCAAGCUCCUUUUUUUGGAUCACCUAGACUCUUUCAGAUCAAAAGAUGGAGCUAUACGAGGAGAUGGUGGUGUGGGAGAUUGAAACAAGACACUCUUAUAUUUUUCUCUCACAUAAAACCUAGUGCUAAAACCCUAAAACCCACCCUAGACCUCAUGCCCAAAGAGGAAGGACUCUUCCUCUGUUUCUCACGCA